UCCACUACAAAUGUCACGGUAAAAAUCACAAAGAUGCCGCCUCGGUCAGGGCCACGCACCCUAUUCCUGCAGCCUGUGGCAUUUAUUACUUUGAAGUGAAGAUCGUCAGUAAAGGUAGAGAUGGGUACAUGGGGAUAGGACUCUCUGCGCAAGGGGUCAACAUGAACAGGCUUCCUGGUAA